CCUUUUGGAUUAUUUAAGUAGUUUCAUAUUGGAUUAUUUAAGUAAAAGGGGGGCGAUGGAGACUUCAUUUAACUUAGGUUGAUCUAAGCCAAAAGCAAACCUAUGUCAGGAU